rnacentral:lncRNA from 1 species
UAUGUAAGAACUACCCAAUUCCACAUGAUCGAGUUACACAAUAGAAGCUACACAGUGGGAAACUAUACCAAUUGGUAUAGGGUCAUAACCCAUGGAAAUAACGCAAAAAUCCUUUUUCAUAAGGAUAAAUAACAUACACACAUCGACAUAUAACUUGACACGUCCAUUAGAUAGAACCGGCGUGGAGACAGAUGUUCAUAUCCUUUCACUACUUUUAUCUCCAACGUAUCAUUUUUUCUUGAUUCAACAAUGGGUCACUUAUUGAAGUCCUGAUGUAGAACUGUAUGCGCUUGUAUAUUAUAAAGGCAACUCCAUAUAACUUUGCACAGUCUGGGAUAACAAAUAAGGACCAUGUGCUAAUGUAGAACAUGCAUGUCUGCUUAGGUACGACAAUUAUUUAGAGAAGCAUUAUAAUUACUACAAUUUUCUUUGUAUCUAAUCAAAUAAUGUUACAUAAAAUAUGUGAACCAAAGUUAUGAAAUAAAUCUUAACCAAAAGCAGAAUAUUCAUGGAAAAUCAAGGCUUUAAAUAUUCCCAUAGAUACAAAUGUCAUCUUGAGUGGCAAGACAAAGAUGUAAUUUACCAAUCACAAACUAAACUAACAUGCAUAUUUAUACUAUAUGUUGUUUCAGAGGAUUUACCUAUUGUCAACUUAGUCAUGAGAAAACUCCAUGACAAAAAUAAUAAUAACAGUAGGACUACAAAAAUAUAAAAAGAAUACAUAAUAAUUCUAGUUCGGAGAACAUAUUACAUAGUUGCACACAUACUAGAAUAAAUCACACUCAAGUUUAGAACCUACCAUUCUUCUAAACGGCAGCAUGUAUCCCUAUCUAUGUCAAAUACUUGAAUUCCAUCAUACUGGUGACCUAACUAAAAUUGCAAACGUAGGAUAAUCGGGUUCCUAGAAAUAAAUUGAACACAAACCCUCUCUAAUACGAUUAUUUGCAGGGGACAUCUAUGAAACAUAAAAGCUCCGGCAAUAACAAAGAAGAAUUCGAGCAUCACCAAGCAUGAGGGAAUAAGUUCGAUCGGCCUUGUUAAUGACUAAGAAUCUGAGAACACUUAACGUACUCUCAAAACAUCAAGAGAUGGUCCCAUCAGAAUGUAAUGUGAACAACAUAAGGAAUUCCAUGAGUGGACCUAGAAUUUCGUUGGACCACUUACUUUUAAGAGGUAUGCAAGCAUCCAUGUGAAAUUGAAAACAUGCAAUUUGGAUAAAACAUUUAUAGGAAAUAACUCGAAGAUGGCUUCAGUUGAAAAAAGACCUCAAACUUGACUACAAAGAUCGAUGCAUAUUAAUACUGUAUGUGGUCUUGGAUAAUUUACCUUUAGCCUAUUUUUUUACUCGUCAGCGGAACUCCCCGAUGAAGACGAAUCCUAGGAGCAAGCCUACAAAAAUAGACAACUAAAUAAGAGAAUAUCACGUUGUCUUACAGAGUUAAACAAUUGAAAUAAUAUAAAUCUCGCUCUUGUCGAUGACAGGGGAUAGCUUAAUUACAUUUCUAAUAGCCCAUAGCUGCCUACCAAAAUAGAGAACAGAACAAUAAUACCUUCAAUAAUACUGUAUAGAGUUGAACACUUUUAGUAGUAUAAAUGAUACUCCCAUACAUGACCAUGGAAAUAUUACCAUCUUCUCACCCAUAUCAUGUACCAUUUGUGCCCAGUACUCCCCAUUUGUAAAACAAUUAUUUUGGAACUCGGAACUUUGUAAACUUUAAGGCUCCAUGAAAUAACAAAUUAAGAAGAAUUAGUAGAGAGAGCACGUGGGUAAAAAGAUAGAGAUCACAUUACCAACUUUCAGGAUGUCAAUAUAUUGUGGAAUCCAACUGAAAAUAUGAAUGUAAGAAAACAACCCCCUAUGUUUGCUUCAAGAAGGUAGCACCCAGUUUUACAUGGUAUGUAAGCCUGCAUGUAAACUCACUCUUGUCAAU